CAUGCUCAACCCGAUUUGAACGAAGUAAAGUCUCUGAGCAUUUACUCAAAACGGUAUGAAUAAAACGAUACUUUGCUCAGAGUAAGUUCGAAUUUCGAACUUAGCAUUUACUUUGUCAAAAAUGUUGUUUUGUUUUGACCCGCGAGGAAAAAGAAUCCCUGCGGUGGAACAAUUUAGUGUCUCCGUCUUUUUUGUUGUUGCCGGCUGCUGGAGUCAUACACAAAAACGGGAAAACACAACCGGGGAGAAUUUCGAGCCAUCCUGUGCCACCUGUGGGGAUACAAACGGUAUACCAAAUGCUGCAGUGUGACGAUAACUGAUUCGUCCGCGCAUCGAUCCUACCUUGCUCCGCAUAAGCCACCGAUGAAUGUAAUCGGUCCGUACGCAACUCUCCCAUCGAUGGGUAGAGAGCCAACAGGUGUCACAAGUUUAAUAAGCAACAAGAGUCCCAGCGGCGUAGCAACAUCAAAAAACGAAAGGGAAACCUCAGUAUUGAUAGCAGUUGUUUGACCAGUAUUGAAGAAGGAUCCAUGGGACAAAGCAAUGGGCCCGUAUUCAACGUUAAAAUGCCGUAGAGUCCUGAUUGAAAUAAUAAACGAAUUAUGCUGCAAAA
rnacentral:lncRNA from 1 species